rnacentral:rRNA from 1 species
CAGUAGCCGCGGGAAUACGGAGGGUGCAAGCGUUAAUCGGAAUUACUGGGCGUAAAGCGCACGCAGGCGGUCUGACAAGUCAGAUGUGAAAUCCCCGGGCUUAACCUGGGAACUGCAUUUGAAACUGUCAGGCUGGAGUCUUGUAGAGGGGGGUGGAAUUCCAGGUGUAGCGGUGAAAUGCGUAGAGAUCUGGAGGAAUACCGGUGGCGAAGGCGGCCCCCUGGACAAAGACUGACGCUCAGGUGCGAAAGCGUGGGGAGCAAACAGGAUUAGAUAUCCCGGUAGUCCCUGUCUCUUAUAC